AUGUAUUGUUUCAUGUGAUAAUAUAUCAUAAUGGGAAAAAAAUUAUUUGUGUUCAUGUUCGUCCUUGCUUUAUUUGCUGCAGGUAUUUUACUUUAUUCCUUCUUUACCCUUUUUGUUUAUGUAAUGUUAUUGCUUUUAUAUUCUUUUUGUUGCAUGUUGAGAUAUCAAUAUUUUUCUUAUACAUGUCGAUUCUUUAAGUUUUGGGUAAGGCUCUAAAAUAAAUAUAGCCCAUUUUGUUGGCUCUCUCAACCUUCAACGCUCACGUAAAAGAAAAAAAAGAAACAAUGAUACACUUUAAUCUACAACCAAACAUAAGUUCGAUUCAUGUUGUUCCUUCUCUCUCUCUCUCUCUCUAUUGCAGUCCAUAAGUUUGUAUUACAUUUGAUUAAGUAAUUGUAAUUAAUUGGUUAUUUGUCAAAUGCAGUUCGGUUUUAGCCUAACUUUUAUUUGGUAAGUCUAAAAGCCCAUAAUUAAUUUUUAUUUCUUAACAUUAUGUAAUUAAUGCUUUAUAUCGUUAUAUAAAUAUAUUUAUGAACGCUUGUAAAACUUAUGUUCUUAAAUUUGAUUUGAGAUAAUGUAAUACGUGUUUGUAAAUAAUUAAUUAUGAUUCUAAACCAUGAAGUCAGUUUUGUUUGUGAUUUUGUUAAAUUUCAGAAAAUUUAUAAUUGUUUGAACUUUGAAUAUAGGUCAUGAGUUACAUUUGAAUGGAAUUUUUAAUUUGUGGAGUACAUGUCCAUAAAUUGAAUUUUUUAAACAACUAAUUUGAAAACAUGCCUAAAUUGCCAAAAAUUAAUGAUCCAUAGAUGGUGUUUAUCUAUACUUAACAAUUGGUAAGGCAAUGAAUCUCCUAUAUAAGGGGGUCGGGGUUUCUUUACGUAUAUAUAUAAAUUGUUUCUUGUGAUAAGAUAUCAAAAUGGGAAAAAGUUUAGUUGUGUUCAUGUUGUUCCUUGCCCUCUUUGCUUCAGACAUUUUACUUUAUUCCUAUUUUACACUUUUUGCUUAUGUAAUGUUAUUGCUUUUUAUAUUUUUUUUGUUACGUGUUCAGAUAUGAAGGUUUUCCGCAUACAUGUUGAUUCUUUAAGUUUUGUUUUUAACAAUAAUUAUGGAAAGUACAUGAUUAAUGAUGGUUUUGGAUUUUCAAAGUGGAUACUAUAGAAACAAAAUUAAUCACCUGUACAUUAAGGUGAGAAUGAUGAAUUAAUGUGAUUUUGAGAGAAUACAUAAAUGUAAAUCUGUAUGGUUGACUGGUGAUGGAUUGUUUUGUUGCAGAUGAGACUUUGAUGACUUGGACAGAAGCAGCAGGGAGAGAUCCAAGGUUUUGUGAAUAUGUAUUCACGAGAUAAACUUGUGAGACUGAUUAUCUAUGUUUGCAAGACUGCAUAGAUUUACCGGAAAAUAAUCAUAAGAGUACUGGAAAAUGUCAGAUAAGGGAUAAGGUUAAUCGAUGUGUCUGUAACACUUGUGCAUCUUGAGCAUGCAUAUGCUCAAUGAAGUU
rnacentral:lncRNA from 1 species